rnacentral:rRNA from 1 species
UACGAAGGGUGCAAGCGUUACUCGGAAUUACUGGGCGUAAAGCGUGCGUAGGCGGCUUGUUAAGUCCGUUGUGAAAGCCCUGGGCUCAACCCAGGAACUGCGUCCGAUACUGGUUGGCUUGAAUCCGGGAGAGGGAUGUGGAAUUCCAGGUGUAGCGGUGAAAUGCGUAGAUAUCUGGAGGAACACCGGUGGCGAAGGCGACAUCCUGGACCGGUAUUGACGCUGAGGCGCGAAAGCCAGGGGAGCAAACGGG